CCUUGACACUUUGGGCCGUUAAUGUCCGAGUGGCACGCGAUAAAUCCGGCCCCCGCGAACGAGAGACGUAUUUCCAUCUUAUCCGCAGAGUGCCUAUCCCGGGAGUGUCCUUCGGAUGCGGGAACGAGUGCCACCACCGCGUAUGUCAUCUCUCGCACUCGCUCGAGGAUACUGAUCAUCGAGCGAAAGCGUGGACCGUUUGAGUGUGGGUGAAAACAGCUUGACGACAGUGCGCGAGCUUAAGCCUCACGAGGUGUCAGGUGCCAACCGGGAAGAAGCCACAAGCUGGUGCUGAUUCCGUCAAGAAUCGAUGAUGCGAACGAGCGAUCGCGAUGACGAGUGAUCCGCACGGCAUGACGUUUCGUUCUUACGGAAGAAGCUAGUCGAAACUGACGGACGGUGCGCUUCCUGAUGCUCGCCGUAAUUGUACGACGGUGGACGGGGUCGAUACGGCCGUAAACCCGAUCAGCUGGAAGGAGAUUCGAAGCCGGUGAGUCCAACGGCACCUGCUCAUUGUGCUUAUUCAUUCGGGAUGCUCCGGCGGGUACGCCGCGCGUACAAUGCCGGCUUAAUGGAACACCCAUGGGGACCUUUGGCAUUACUAUGAAAUCUAUCGGCGCGGCUACGGACCGAUGCGACAGACUUAUCGAUGAUGCUCUCUCGGGACCGCGGCGCGUACCCGUUCCUAUCAGGCCGCCGCACUUGCACAGUCACCAAGCGUACGGUAUUUCAAUUGAAGUCAUGUUAACGUAAUCGCGCGAUGAUUCUUCUUCGUUUUUCUUGCCUUUACAGCGGUUCUCUCGAUUUUACCCAAGUCCGCGCUUCCGUCGUCGGACGGAAUCUCGUAGAAUCCACACGCUCGGUUGCCCCCACGUUUCCCGUCGCGAUUUCUUGUCGUUGAAUAAGGAGAAUUGGACGUGGAGAUAUGUCGAGGUAUGACCGGGCGACCAUUUCCGUUUGUCGAAAUCGUGGGGCGGAGAACGAUUUAAGAUUGAAACAGGAAAUUAUGGAGAACGCGUGUAUGAUAUGUAUCUAUCUCGCUUCUGCACGUGCUAAUACGCUCUAUCGAAAUAAUUCAUAUUUUGCCGGCGAUUGCCCAAGAUCGGAGCUAGUUCGUGUCGCGGUACGUCGCUUGAGUACAUGCGAUUACCCGAGGCGGCCAGCGCGAAAAAUAGGAUUUGCGUAGAGUCGUACACGUGGCGGCACGAGAGCGACCGGGGAGAAAAGAGUGGCGUACUCUCAACUUGGACGUGCGGGCUAAGUGGACACGCGCGGACAAUUGCGGACGGCGGGACGUGGUUUUACAAUAAGUCAAUUCGCUCUCGAGCUGCAUAAGAACAGCCUGACAAAAAAAAGAAAAGACAGCCUGGGAUAUAGUUAUUGCGGCUGCACACGUGAACAGGUCGAUCCGGUCGAGUGAGAUCAAAAGAGAGAUGGAGAACGACACAUGAAGAGAAGAAGAGAGAGAUAGAGAUAGAGAGAAAGAGAGAGAGCAGAGAAGAAUGGACGGGGGGCCAGCGAGGAGAGAGGGCCGCGAAGAGGAACAGGAACGAAGGGGAACAGAAACGAAGGCACACGUAUGACACGUAUCGAAGGCGAUAAAGGCCCAAAGGAGAGGAAGAGGGCAGCGGCGGCGAA
rnacentral:lncRNA from 1 species